AAAGAUUAAGCCAUGCAUGUCUAAGUAUAAACAACUUUAUACUGUAAAACUGCGAACGGCUCAUUAUAUCAGCAAUAAUUUAUUUGAUGGUUUCUUACUACAUGGAUAACUGUAGUAAUUCUAGAGCUAAUACAUGCGUAAAGUCCCAACUCUCGCGGGGAGGGAUGUAUUUAUUAGAUAAAAAACCAAUGCGGGUUCUGCUCGCCUUUGUGUUGAAUCAUAGUAACUUUUCGAACGGCAUAGCCUUGUGCUGGCCGUAGAUCAUUCAAAUUUCUGCCCUAUCAGCUUUCGACGGUAGUGUAGUGGACUACCGUGGCGU
rnacentral:rRNA from 1 species